CAGUCACAUCACGUUGAAACACCAGUUUCCGUACAAACACUGAAGUUAAGCAAUGUUGAGCCUGGUCAGUACCUAGAUGGGUGACCGAUUGGAAAUACCAGAUGCUGA